AUUGAACGCUGGCGGCAGGCCUAACACAUGCAAGUCGAGCGGAGCGGCGGACGGGUGAGUAAUGCCUAGGAAUCUGCCUGGUCGUGGGGGAUAACGUCCGGAAACGGGCGCUAAUACCGCAUACUAGCAGAUGAGCCUAGGGCGGAUUAGCUAGUUGGUGGGGUAAAGGCCUACCAAGGCGACGAUCCGUACCUGGUCUGGGAGGAUGACCAGUCACACUGGAACAGAGACACGGGCCAGAGUCCUACGGUAGGCAGCAGUGGGGAAUAUGGGACAAUGGGCGAAGGCCUGAUCCAGCCAUGCCGCGUGUGUGAAGAAGGUCUUCGGGUUGUAAAGCACUUAAAGUUGGGGGGCGUUACCAACAGAAUAAGCACCGGCUAACUUCGUGCCAGCAGCCGCGGUAAUAC
rnacentral:rRNA from 1 species